UUAAGCGACUAAGCGUACACGGUGGAUGCCCUGGCAGUCAGAGGCGAUGAAGGACGUGCUAAUCUGCGAUAAGCGUCGGUAAGGUGAUAUGAACCGUUAUAACCGGCGAUUUCCGAAUGGGGAAACCCAGUGUGUUUCGACACACUAUCAUUAACUGAAUCCAUAGGUUAAUGAGGCGAACCGGGGGAACUGAAACAUCUAAGUACCCCGAGGAAAAGAAAUCAACCGAGAUUCCCCCAGUAGCGGCGAGCGAACGGGGAGCAGCCCAGAGCCUGAAUCAGUGUGUGUGUUAGUGGAAGCGUCUGGAAAGGCGCGCGAUACAGGGUGACAGCCCCGUACACAAAAAUGCACAUAUUGUGAGCUCGAUGAGUAGGGCGGGACACGUGGUAUCCUGUCUGAAUAUGGGGGGACCAUCCUCCAAGGCUAAAUACUCCUGACUGACCGAUAGUGAACCAGUACCGUGAGGGAAAGGCGAAAAGAACCCCGGCGAGGGGAGUGAAAAAGAACCUGAAACCGUGUACGUACAAGCAGUGGGAGCACAGAGCAAUCUGUGUGACUGCGUACCUUUUGUAUAAUGGGUCAGCGACUUAUAUUCUGUAGCAAGGUUAACCGAAUAGGGGAGCCGAAGGGAAACCGAGUCUUAACUGGGCGUUAAGUUGCAGGGUAUAGACCCGAAACCCGGUGAUCUAGCCAUGGGCAGGUUGAAGGUUGGGUAACACUAACUGGAGGACCGAACCGACUAAUGUUGAAAAAUUAGCGGAUGACUUGUGGCUGGGGGUGAAAGGCCAAUCAAACCGGGAGAUAGCUGGUUCUCCCCGAAAGCUAUUUAGGUAGCGCCUCGUGAAUUCAUCUCCGGGGGUAGAGCACUGUUUCGGCAAGGGGGUCAUCCCGACUUACCAACCCGAUGCAAACUGCGAAUACCGGAGAAUGUUAUCACGGGAGACACACGGCGGGUGCUAACGUCCGUCGUGAAGAGGGAAACAACCCAGACCGCCAGCUAAGGUCCCAAAGUCAUGGUUAAGUGGGAAACGAUGUGGGAAGGCCCAGACAGCCAGGAUGUUGGCUUAGAAGCAGCCAUCAUUUAAAGAAAGCGUAAUAGCUCACUGGUCGAGUCGGCCUGCGCGGAAGAUGUAACGGGGCUAAACCAUGCACCGAAGCUGCGGCAGCGACACUGUGUGUUGUUGGGUAGGGGAGCGUUCUGUAAGCCUGUGAAGGUGUGCUGUGAGGCAUGCUGGAGGUAUCAGAAGUGCGAAUGCUGACAUAAGUAACGAUAAAGCGGGUGAAAAGCCCGCUCGCCGGAAGACCAAGGGUUCCUGUCCAACGUUAAUCGGGGCAGGGUGAGUCGACCCCUAAGGCGAGGCCGAAAGGCGUAGUCGAUGGGAAACAGGUUAAUAUUCCUGUACUUGGUGUUACUGCGAAGGGGGGACGGAGAAGGCUAUGUUGGCCGGGCGACGGUUGUCCCGGUUUAAGCGUGUAGGCUGGUUUUCCAGGCAAAUCCGGAAAAUCAAGGCUGAGGCGUGAUGACGAGGCACUACGGUGCUGAAGCAACAAAUGCCCUGCUUCCAGGAAAAGCCUCUAAGCAUCAGGUAACAUCAAAUCGUACCCCAAACCGACACAGGUGGUCAGGUAGAGAAUACCAAGGCGCUUGAGAGAACUCGGGUGAAGGAACUAGGCAAAAUGGUGCCGUAACUUCGGGAGAAGGCACGCUGAUAUGUAGGUGAAGCGACUUGCUCGUGGAGCUGAAAUCAGUCGAAGAUACCAGCUGGCUGCAACUGUUUAUUAAAAACACAGCACUGUGCAAACACGAAAGUGGACGUAUACGGUGUGACGCCUGCCCGGUGCCGGAAGGUUAAUUGAUGGGGUCAGCGCAAGCGAAGCUCUUGAUCGAAGCCCCGGUAAACGGCGGCCGUAACUAUAACGGUCCUAAGGUAGCGAAAUUCCUUGUCGGGUAAGUUCCGACCUGCACGAAUGGCGUAAUGAUGGCCAGGCUGUCUCCACCCGAGACUCAGUGAAAUUGAACUCGCUGUGAAGAUGCAGUGUACCCGCGGCAAGACGGAAAGACCCCGUGAACCUUUACUAUAGCUUGACACUGAACAUUGAGCCUUGAUGUGUAGGAUAGGUGGGAGGCUUUGAAGUGUGGACGCCAGUCUGCAUGGAGCCGACCUUGAAAUACCACCCUUUAAUGUUUGAUGUUCUAACGUUGACCCGUGAUCCGGGUUGCGGACAGUGUCUGGUGGGUAGUUUGACUGGGGCGGUCUCCUCCUAAAGAGUAACGGAGGAGCACGAAGGUUGGCUAAUCCUGGUCGGACAUCAGGAGGUUAGUGCAAUGGCAUAAGCCAGCUUGACUGCGAGCGUGACGGCGCGAGCAGGUGCGAAAGCAGGUCAUAGUGAUCCGGUGGUUCUGAAUGGAAGGGCCAUCGCUCAACGGAUAAAAGGUACUCCGGGGAUAACAGGCUGAUACCGCCCAAGAGUUCAUAUCGACGGCGGUGUUUGGCACCUCGAUGUCGGCUCAUCACAUCCUGGGGCUGAAGUAGGUCCCAAGGGUAUGGCUGUUCGCCAUUUAAAGUGGUACGCGAGCUGGGUUUAGAACGUCGUGAGACAGUUCGGUCCCUAUCUGCCGUGGGCGCUGGAGAACUGAGGGGGGCUGCUCCUAGUACGAGAGGACCGGAGUGGACGCAUCACUGGUGUUCGGGUUGUCAUGCCAAUGGCACUGCCCGGUAGCUAAAUGCGGAAGAGAUAAGUGCUGAAAGCAUCUAAGCACGAAACUUGCCCCGAGAUGAGUUCUCCCUGACCCUUUAAGGGUCCUGAAGGAACGUUGAAGACGACGACGUUGAUAGGCCGGGUGUGUAAGCGCAGCGAUGCGUUGAGCUAACCGGUACUAAUGAACCGUGAGGCUUAACCUU
rnacentral:rRNA from 1 species